rnacentral:misc_RNA from 1 species
AAAAAAGGUCUUUACCACAACCCCGAUGACUUCCGUUCGCGGAAGCCGUCGGUUGGACACCGUUCCCCUCUCUGUACAGGGAGGAGGGACAACCGUGAACCAUCGUUUAACCGUCUGUGGGUGGUCCUUUUUGGUUGGACCUUUGAGGAUUUCGUGGGCUAGCUAGCUAGCUAGCUUCCGCGUGCCUACCCAGCGACUUUUGACAAACCCAUAAUGCUUUGUACUUCGUGAAUCGUUCUUCUUUUGAAGGACAACUCAUUA